rnacentral:rRNA from 1 species
UACGUAGGUGGCAAGCGUUGUCCGGAUUUACUGGGCGUAAAGAGCGCGCAGGCGGUCGUUCAAGUCGCGUGUGAAAGCCCCCGGCUCAACUGGGGAGGGUCACGCGAUACUGCUCGACUCGAAGGCAGGAGAGGGUAGUGGAAUUCCCGGUGUAGUGGUGAAAUGCGUAGAGAUGUGGAGGAACACCGAUGCGAAGGCAGCCCCCUGGGUCAAGACUGACGCUCAUGCACGAAAGCGUGGGGAGCAAACAGG